UACGUAGGUGGCAAGCGUUGUCCGGAUUUACUGGGCGUAAAGGGCGAGUAGGUGGCCAUCUAAGUCAGACGUGAAAUCCCCCGGCUUAACCUGGGAACUGCGUCUGAUACUGGACGGCUUGAGUAUGGGAGAGGAAUGUAGAAUUCCAGGUGUAGCGGUGAAAUGCGUAGAUAUCUGGAGGAAUACCGGUGGCGAAGGCGGCAUUCUGGACCAUUACUGACACUGAAUCGCGAAAGCUAGGGGAGCAAACGGG
rnacentral:rRNA from 1 species